GACAGAGGAUGCAAGCGUUAAUCGGAAUUACUGGGCGUAAAGGGCGCGUAGGCGGAUAAUCAAGCUGGAUGUGAAAGACCUGGGCUUAAUCUGGGGGUGUCAUUCAUAACUGGUUGUCUAGAGUAGGGGAGAGGCGAGUGGAAUUCACAGUGUAGCGGUGAAAUGCGUAGAUAUUGUGAGGAACAUCGAUGGCGAAGGCAGCUCGCUGGCCUACUACUGACGCUGAGGCGCGAAAGCAUGGGUAGCGAACAGG
rnacentral:misc_RNA from 1 species